rnacentral:rRNA from 1 species
UACGGGGGGGGCAAGCGUUGUUCGGAAUUACUGGGCGUAAAGGGCUCGUAGGUCGCCAACUAAGUCAGACGUGAAAUCCCUCGGCUUAACCGGGGAACUGCGUCUGAUACUGGAUGGCUUGAAUCCGGGAGAGGGAUGCGGAAUUCCAGGUGUAGCGGUGAAAUGCGUAGAUAUCUGGAGGAACACCGGUGGCGAAGGCGGCAUCCUGGACCGGCAUUGACGCUGAGGCGCGAAAGCUAGGGGAGCAAACGGGG